UUAUUGGUAUAGAUAUUUAAUACUGUGAUGUUUUUCUCCCUGCGCGCAGCUUAGCCAUGUUCCACAGUCCGCAGCAUGUGGCGCCUCUCUCUCCUUUCAUCUUCCGUGACUCCUGCUUGGCAGACUCGCUGUGUCGUCAGGAGGAGUGCUGUGCACGGGGGUUUACAGGGAUGGAGCGGAAGGAGACGGGGCAGGACUCGAACGAUGAGGAGACACCCUCAAAGCGGGAACUGGCCACACGACAGAAAUAGAGAAGGCAGAAAAGAAGAACGAAAGCAGAAUCAAGAUUCAGAUUCACGUAGACCAGUGGUCGUAACAGGUAUAUGUUGAUGCCUCCGUGAAAAAGAAGAGACAGGAAAAAUCAAAGAAGUGACAUAAAGUUCUUUUCUUGAAAAAUAACAAGAAAAAAGGCAAAACCAAUGGUACAUUUCUGUAAGAUACAUUUCGGGAAGAAGGAAAAUGAUCUCAUGAGAAAUGUCUGUGAGAAGAAAUCAUGCAAGAAGAAAUGCAGCACAAAGAAAGUAGUUAAAAUGAGUGAAAAUGUAAACACCAUAGACUCUAUUGAUCAUGUCCAGUUUUUAGUGUUUAAAGAAAACAAAUGAAACCUACAUUUUGUGGAAGACCAAGCAAGCUGGGAACGGAAUGAGCAGAUUUAAAACAUUGUAAAGCUCUUUAAUGAUUUGGAAGAAAGAUAACAUGCUAAUAUACUCUGAACUGUUUUCAGUUACAUGUCUAUAAUGAUUUAAAGAAUACCAAUUCAAAAGUAUAGAAAUUAACUGUAAAACUUCAUGGAAAAGUAAAAUGAGAAGUUAAAAACAAACAAAGGCCUCUACUAGUCUGAAAAGAGGAAAAUAAAUUAAAUAAAAAAACAAAAAACA
rnacentral:lncRNA from 1 species